CAGAAACAAACUCACCAAAACUCUGGAUGUCAUAUCAAACACAUAGAGGGUGUAGUGGGAUCUCAGUCAGAAUGUGAUUGAUCCAUUUCUGAAUGACAACCUGACAAAAGUCUCCCACGUCUGGGAGCUCCUGUAAUAUCCCCCACUUUUAAAAAUGUAUUAAUAAGGAUUUAUAUGUAAAUUGGGGGACCUAUAUGUAAAUAUAGAAAUUACAAGGACUAAACUGUUAAGUUGCAAAAAGAAAAAAAAAAGAAAAGGAAAAACCGAAAAUUCGGUAUUAUCCCACCGCCUCCCACGCACUCUGUUUCUUUCCAGAAACAGAGAGAGCGGUGGGGCGUGAGGAGAAGGAGAGUGGUUGAAGAAAAGAAGAAGAAGAGGGAAAAGAAGAGAGGAGGAAGAAGAGAGGAAGAAGAGGGAGAAGAGAAGAAGAUGAAGAAGAAGAAGAAGAGGAGGUGGCUGCAGCGAGGGCUGCAGCGAGAAGCUGUGGGGCGUGGGGAGAAGAAGAGAGGAAGAAGAUGGAGAAGAGAAGAAGAAGAAGAAGAAGCAGGAGAAGAAGAAGAAGAAGAAGAGAGGAUGAUAGCUGCGGCAAGGCUGCAGCGAGGAGGUGUGUGUGGGGUUGGGGAGGAAAAGGGAAGAGGAGAAGAAAAGAAGGAGAAGAAGAGGGAAAAGAGAGGGAAGAGGGAGAGGAGCGAGAGGUGGCAGCAGCUAGGGCUGCAGCACCUCUGUUUCCUGCAGGUGGAAACAGAGGAGAGGUGGGGCAUUCGAAGAGGAGAAGAAGAUGAAGAGGAAGAGAAGAGGAAGAGGAAGCAGGAGAAGAGGUUGUGAUACCUCUGUUUCCUGCAGAGGAAACAGAGGAGAGGGUGUGUGUGACGUCGGGGAGAAGAAGGGGAGGAUGGAGAAGAAGAGAAGAAGAAGAAAGGAAGGAGAGGAAGAAGAGAAGGGAAAGGAGGAGCUGCGGCUGCGGCGGUGGCAGCUGCAGCUGGAAGAGAAGGAGAGGAAGAGAUGGUGAGGAAGAAGAGAAGAAGUAGAAGCGGGUGAAGAGGCGGCACCUCUGUUUCCUGCAGGAGGAAACAGAGGAAAGGAGGUGCUGUUCGUCGGGGAGAAGAAGGGGGCUGCAGCUGCGGCGAUGGCAGCUGCAGCUGGAAGAGAAGAAGAAGAGGAAGAUGAGCAGGGGAGGAGGGAGAGGUUGCGGCCGUGGCUGCGGCCGCGACUGCAGCAGUUGCAGCGGGGAGAGAAGAAGAAGAAAGGAAGGAGAAGGAAGAGGAGAAGGGAAAGAAGUAGCUGCGGCUGCGGUUGUGGCAGCUGCAGCUGUGGCAGGGAAAGAGGAAGAGAAAAAGGAAAGGAAGAAGAAGAGAAAGGGAAGGAGAGGAAGAAGAGAGGAAGAGGAGAAGGGGCUGCGGCUGCGGCGAUGGCAGCUGCAGCUGUGGCUGGGAAAGAAGAGAAGGAAAGGAAGAAGAAGAGAAAGGGAAGGAGAGGAAGAAGAGAGGAAGAGGAGAAGGGGUGGCAGCUGUGGCAGUGGCAGCUGCAGCUGGAAGAGGAGGAGGAAAUAGAGCAGGGGAGGAAGAAGAGGCUGCGAGUGUGGUGGCUGCGGCCGUGGCUGCGACUCCGGCUGCGGCUGCGACGUUGGCUGCGGUAGCUGCGGCAGCGGUGGUGGCUGCAGUAGCUGCAGUAGCUGCUUUUGGGAAAGAGAAAGAGUAGGAACGAGAGAAGGGAAGAAGGAAAUAGUGCAGUGAAUGGGGGCUGCGGUUGUGACCGCAGUUGCGAUUGUGGCAGCGGCAGCGGUGGCGGCUGUGGCAGCUGCGUUUGGGAAAGAAAAAGAAGGAAUGAGAGUAAGAGAGAGCAGGUGACUGUGCCUCGAUGUUCGACACGUGAUGUAGUUACGAAGAAAGGAAGAAAACGGGAGUACAAAACGAAACAGAGAGAGGACACGGAGGAAAAGUAGAAAGAUUGGACUGGCACCUUCCUUGGAUAUUCAGAUCAAAAUAUUUGAAAGGUCAGCUUGUCACUCUUCGAGAUGUUUGAUUUGGGCUGAGGCAGUGGAUAGCUAUUCAGAAUGAUGGGCAAGUCUGGUUGGUUAUUACAAUAUUGUUGUAUAAGUAUGUUUUGUAUGUAAUGAAAUGUUGUCGAUGAACCGAAAUGGAUAUACUGUGUCAAAGUGUUAGGAGAUCUCUCUUAGUUGGAAUUUUUGAAUGUUAAGCCUAAUUUAUAAUGAUAUGAACUUGUGGUGAAUAGUUGGA